AUGGAAGAAGGGAAGCAACGGCUGGUGCUGAGCCUGCCUCCCGGCUACCACUUCGCGCCGACGGACGUGGAGCUCAUCGUCCACUACCUCCGCCGGAAGAUGGACGGCCACCCGCCGCACCUGCCCGUCUUCAAGGACGUGCCCAUCACCGACUACCGCCCGGAGCAGAUCACAGAGGUGUUCAUGGACUGCGGGGAGGAGCGGUGGUACUUCUUCACCAAGCGGACCCGCAAGUACGCGACGGGCAACCGGCCGGACCGGACGACGCCGGGCAGGGGGUACUGGAAGGCCACCGGCCCUCAGCGUCUGAUCCGCACCGGGCCCUCGAAGGCUUAUCCGCUGGUCGGGCGCCGGAGGACGCUCGUGUUCUACACCGGGCCCGACGAGGCGGCCAAGACCGCCUGGACCAUGUACGAGUACGAGAACCUCACCUCCGAGGAGGAGGCCAACGACAAGAACGCCGACAAGCUUGGCGAGUGGGUGCUGUGCACGAUACAGAGGCAGAAGAGCCAGCGCGUCGGCGACGACACGAUCAAGGGCAAGGCCAAGGGGGAAAGCAAGGCGGGCGGCAGGAAGAGGAAGGGCAAGGCACAGAAGGGAGCUGAUGAUCAAGUCCUCCAGAUCCAGGGAACCCAGGAGGUGGCAGAGAAAGUUGAUGAGACGGACAUGUUUGAGUUGGAGCAAGCCAGCCGCCCCAACAAGAGACCCCAACUCAUGCAGCAGCAGCAUGAUGAACCGCCACCGCCACCGCCAUGCCCGGAAACAUUGAUACCAGCACAAGAUUGUGACUAUGGCCUAGGCACCGUGCCGCCGUCACAGGAACCGCCGCAGCAGCUCUCGGAUUCAGAGAUGGUGGCGUCUCGCCCUGGUGCUUCAUGCUACGGCUUUGAUGAGUCCAUGCUGCUGUCGCUGCUGGAAUAUGAGACGAUGGCGCCUCUUCUUCUAGGAUACAACAACUACAGCACGACGCCGUAUCAGCCGGCAACCAGCUACCUAGAUGCUGCGGCGGCGCCUCUUGGAGCAUUCAGUUACGGUUAUGGCGGCGCUGCACAUCAACCGGCAGGUCAACUGAACAAUGGUGGGUACGCCGGCGGUCAUCCCAGUAGCCUUUUGGGCACCAGCAACAGUACAUAUACUUACCCGCAGCAGCACUCCUACGCCGCUGGCAGCAGUACAUACACUUACCUGCAGCAGCAUUCACACCCAGCCGGAACCAACAAGUUGGCCCCCAGCAACAGUACAUAUACUUACCAGCUGCAGCAGUCAUGCGCCGCGGGAGCCAACAAGUUGGCGUUGGCCAGGGGAGCGAUGAGCAGCGGCAUUGGUCAGGGGAGCGAUGUGCAGCCACAGGUAGAGCUGUGA
rnacentral:rRNA from 1 species